rnacentral:rRNA from 1 species
GACGAACGCUGGCGGCGUGCUUAACACAUGCAAGUCGAACGGUGAGGGGGGGAGCUUGCUCUUGGGUGAGCAGUGGCGAACGGGUGAGUAACACGUGAGUAACCUGCCCCUGACUCUGGAAUAACUUCGGGAAACCGAAGCUAAUACCGGAUACGACACAGAGCUGCAUGGCUACUGUGUGGAAAGUUUUUCGGUUGGGGAUGGACUCGCGGCCUAUCAGCUUGUUGGUGAGGUAAUGGCUCACCAAGGCGACGACGGGUAGCCGGCCUGAGAGGGCGAUCGGCCACACUGGGACUGAGACACGGCCCAGACUCCUACGGGAGGCAGCAGUGGGGAAUAUUGCACAAUGGGCGAAAGCCUGAUGCAGCGACGCCGCGUGAGGGAUGAAGGCCUUCGGGUUGUAAACCUCUUUCAGUAGGGAAGAAGCGCAAGUGACGGUACCUACAGAAGAAGCACCGGCUAACUACGUGCCAGCAGCCGCCGUAAGAC